rnacentral:tRNA from 1 species
CGGGCUGUGGCGCAGUUUGGUCAGCGCGCUCGCUUCGGGUGCGAGAGGUCGGAGCUUCGAAUCCUCCCAGCCCGA